CGUGAUAGGGGACACCGAGUGCCAGCAUCAUAUGCUGGCUGUCCGGGUGUGUAAAAUACAUCCGUUAGCAAGGGCCGGGCAAGACCGGUGCCAGCCGCCGCGGUAACACCGGCGGCCCGAGUGGUGAUCGUGAUUAUUGGGUCUAAAGGGUCCGUAGCCGGUUUGGUCAGUCCUCCGGGAAAUCUGAUAGCUCAACUAUUAGGCUUUCGGGGGAUACUGCCAGGCUUGGAACCGGGAGAGGUAAGAGGUACUACAGGGGUAGGA
rnacentral:rRNA from 1 species